rnacentral:lncRNA from 1 species
CUUAUGAAUCGCAUAGGAUUUCUCUUUUUCUACCAAAGUCGAUAGAUUCUAUCUUGGUAUAUCCUACUCCAAAUAGCAAACCUGAACCUACAUAGCCAACAUACACAGCAAGGAUCUAUAUGGCUAGAGACCAAAGAAACAUGCAGUCAAACUAUAUAGCCUCACUGUGAAUAGCCAACACACCGCAGGUCAAAGGAUCAAUCAUAUAUCCUACUUCAAACAGCAAACCUGAACCUACAUAGCCAACAUACACAGCA